UUCCUUAAUAAGAGGGCAGCGCUGUGUUUGGAGAUGUGGAUUUCAUUAGGAACCAGACCCUGAUGUUUUCAUUAUUAUUAUUAUUACAGACACAUCAUAAUAUGAGUUCCAGCUGAAAUAAAAUGUAACUACAAAAAAAAAUGUGGGAUUUGAACUGAAAACGGAAUGAACCAGAGACGAGGGGUAACGCGCCCUAGCCACGGCGCCAGGAGCAGAGCCGAGUCCCGUCCCAUUUCAAUAUCACUCGCCUGCAGACCCGGAGCCGAGCACACCCCUCCCAAUCUCAAUCAUCACACUAGGGAUGAAAACAAACCGCAACACGAGUUCAGGGUGGAUCACUCUUCAAAUUGAAAAGGGGUUCGGCUGUAAUUCCAAACCCAGCGCAUUGAAAGGAGUUGAGAAGCGGCGUUUUGAGGUAUCGUCGUUUUUAGGCGAUACCUCAAAAUAGAUCAAAAGGGGUAAGUUCACUUAACACGAUAUAGCUAAUUGUAAAAGCGGGGCCCUUUUACCUCUGGAAAGGAAAAUCCCAAACCAUCCCCAAGCGGCGUGUUCCGUAACCACGCCCUCAGGUGUGUCGCAGAAUGACCACGCCCCUUCGAGGUACACAGCCACGGGUGACCACGCCCCUUCCAGGUACACAGCCACGAGUGACCACGCCCCUUCCAGGUACACAGCCACUAGUGACCACGCCCCUUCCAGGUACACAUGCACAGGUGGCCACGCCCCGCGCAGGUAGAUCGGAAAGAUGGCGGCCGGGGUAACACGCUGAGUUUGAGCUCCGUAACUUUCUCCUGUUUUUAAUGUGUUUUUCUCGGGUGGGAGAGAGCAUGCAAGCGGGCCUGGUCUCCGCUCUUUCUUUUCAAAGGACAAACGCGGGUUGUGUUUGAAAGAAGAGGCGCUGUUCCUGGUGUCUGGUCUUUGAGAUUGAAUCGACGGCUUGGUAAAAUCCCGGAUUCCCUGUUUGUUCUGGUGUCCAGUCCUGGUGUGACACACACAGGAGGAGAUGCAGUCUGGAAACGCGCUGGACACGUUUCAAACGGGUGAAUCAACAGCAGCAUUGUUAAAGUCUUUAUAACAGACUGUCCGUUCAGCGAGGAUUCAUUAGUGAAGUUACAAGCCCCUCUGCACAGAGGCUGUGUAAACUAGCGUUGCUGUGGAUUCUGUGUGUGCGUCUUUCAGUGCAAGAUGCGCCCUCAUCACCGCUGCCCGUCCUUGUGCGCACCGACCCGGGAUCCGUCUGCAAGCCCCUGUCACGGAUAGACGCGUGCGGUUCUGCAGCGUCGCUCCCGCCUCUGGACUCUCGGAUCAAGCAGAUGGAUUGACGGGCUGGUUUUGUUUUUUGGCGAGUUCUUGUUCAUCUCACCGCCCCGUGUUGGAUUGUGUGUUUCGCUUUUCUAAUAAAGAUUGCAUUGCG